GUCAAUCACCCCACCCUAAAGGAUGGAGCAUGGAACUGAAAGGAGCCAAGCCAGGUUGACCAGGGAAAGCGGUAAUCAAUCCGCUACGUUAGCAACAGGUCGUUCAGACACACCAGCGAAUGCUUCCUCAGUUCGCUGCUCUGUAAGGUCUUGAUCACGCUGGACAAAGGUAAAGGUCCGAAGGUCUUGAUCGCAGCUCGCAAGGGCUGGAGCCGCUUGCUGACAUUCCCGAGGGGAGCGUUCUGGCGCGUCCUGAGGCGCACCUGAACCGUCACAAGGCCCGUAAGGGCU
rnacentral:ncRNA from 1 species